rnacentral:rRNA from 1 species
GUGUCAGCAGCCGCGGUAAGACAGAGGGUGCAAACGUUGUUCGGAAUUACUGGGCGUAAAGCGUGUGUAGGCGGUCUGCUAAGUCGGGUGUGAAAGCCCUGGGCUCAACCCAGGAAGUGCACUCGAAACUGGCAGGCUAGAGUACUGGAGAGGUUGGUGGAAUUCUCGGUGUAGAGGUGAAAUUCGUAGAUAUCGAGAGGAACACCGGUGGCGAAGGCGGCCAACUGGACAGAUACUGACGCUGAGACACGAAAGCGUGGGGAGCAAACAGGAUUAGAAACCCCCGUAGUCC